rnacentral:rRNA from 1 species
UAAGCGACUAAGCGUACACGGUGGAUGCCCUGGCAGUCAGAGGCGAUGAAGGACGUGCUAAUCUGCGAUAAGCGUCGGUAAGGUGAUAUGAACCGUUAUAACCGGCGAUUUCCGAAUGGGGAAACCCAGUGUGAUUCGUCACACUAUCAUUAACUGAAUCCAUAGGUUAAUGAGGCGAACCGGGGGAACUGAAACAUCUAAGUACCCCGAGGAAAAGAAAUCAACCGAGAUUCCCCCAGUAGCGGCGAGCGAACGGGGAGCAGCCCAGAGCCUGAAUCAGUGUGUGUGUUAGUGGAAGCGUCUGGAAAGGCGUGCGAUACAGGGUGACAGCCCCGUACACAAAAAUGCACAUAUUGUGAGCUUGAUGAGUAGGGCGGGACACGUGGUAUCCUGUCUGAAUAUGGGGGGACCAUCCUCCAAGGCUAAAUACUCCUGACUGACCGAUAGUGAACCAGUACCGUGAGGGAAAGGCGAAAAGAACCCCGGCGAGGGGAGUGAAAAAGAACCUGAAACCGUGUACGUACAAGCAGUGGGAGCACGCUUAGGCGUGUGACUGCGUACCUUUUGUAUAAUGGGUCAGCGACUUAUAUUCUGUAGCAAGGUUAACCGAAUAGGGGAGCCGAAGGGAAACCGAGUCUUAACUGGGCGUUAAGUUGCAGGGUAUAGACCCGAAACCCGGUGAUCUAGCCAUGGGCAGGUUGAAGGUUGGGUAACACUAACUGGAGGACCGAACCGACUAAUGUUGAAAAAUUAGCGGAUGACUUGUGGCUGGGGGUGAAAGGCCAAUCAAACCGGGAGAUAGCUGGUUCUCCCCGAAAGCUAUUUAGGUAGCGCCUCGUGAAUUCAUCUCCGGGGGUAGAGCACUGUUUCGGCAAGGGGGUCAUCCCGACUUACCAACCCGAUGCAAACUGCGAAUACCGAAGAAUGUUAUCACGGGAGACACACGGCGGGUGCUAACGUCCGUCGUGAAGAGGGAAACAACCCAGACCGCCAGCUAAGGUCCCAAAGUCAUGGUUAAGUGGGAAACGAUGUGGGAAGGCCCAGACAGCCAGGAUGUUGGCUUAGAAGCAGCCAUCAUUUAAAGAAAGCGUAAUAGCUCACUGGUCGAGUCGGCCUGCGCGGAAGAUGUAACGGGGCUAAACCAUGCACCGAAGCUGCGGCAGCGACGCUUAUGCGUUGUUGGGUAGGGGAGCGUUCUGUAAGCCUGCGAAGGUGUGCUGUGAGGCAUGCUGGAGGUAUCAGAAGUGCGAAUGCUGACAUAAGUAACGAUAAAGCGGGUGAAAAGCCCGCUCGCCGGAAGACCAAGGGUUCCUGUCCAACGUUAAUCGGGGCAGGGUGAGUCGACCCCUAAGGCGAGGCCGAAAGGCGUAGUCGAUGGGAAACAGGUUAAUAUUCCUGUACUUGGUGUUACUGCGAAGGGGGGACGGAGAAGGCUAUGUUGGCCGGGCGACGGUUGUCCCGGUUUAAGCGUGUAGGCUGGUUUUCCAGGCAAAUCCGGAAAAUCAAGGCUGAGGCGUGAUGACGAGGCACUACGGUGCUGAAGCAACAAAUGCCCUGCUUCCAGGAAAAGCCUCUAAGCAUCAGGUAACAUCAAAUCGUACCCCAAACCGACACAGGUGGUCAGGUAGAGAAUACCAAGGCGCUUGAGAGAACUCGGGUGAAGGAACUAGGCAAAAUGGUGCCGUAACUUCGGGAGAAGGCACGCUGAUAUGUAGGUGAAGUCCCUCGCGGAUGGAGCUGAAAUCAGUCGAAGAUACCAGCUGGCUGCAACUGUUUAUUAAAAACACAGCACUGUGCAAACACGAAAGUGGACGUAUACGGUGUGACGCCUGCCCGGUGCCGGAAGGUUAAUUGAUGGGGUCAGCGCAAGCGAAGCUCUUGAUCGAAGCCCCGGUAAACGGCGGCCGUAACUAUAACGGUCCUAAGGUAGCGAAAUUCCUUGUCGGGUAAGUUCCGACCUGCACGAAUGGCGUAAUGAUGGCCAGGCUGUCUCCACCCGAGACUCAGUGAAAUUGAACUCGCUGUGAAGAUGCAGUGUACCCGCGGCAAGACGGAAAGACCCCGUGAACCUUUACUAUAGCUUGACACUGAACAUUGAGCCUUGAUGUGUAGGAUAGGUGGGAGGCUUUGAAGUGUGGACGCCAGUCUGCAUGGAGUCGACCUUGAAAUACCACCCUUUAAUGUUUGAUGUUCUAACGUGGACCCGUGAUCCGGGUUGCGGACAGUGUCUGGUGGGUAGUUUGACUGGGGCGGUCUCCUCCUAAAGAGUAACGGAGGAGCACGAAGGUUGGCUAAUCCUGGUCGGACAUCAGGAGGUUAGUGCAAUGGCAUAAGCCAGCUUGACUGCGAGCGUGACGGCGCGAGCAGGUGCGAAAGCAGGUCAUAGUGAUCCGGUGGUUCUGAAUGGAAGGGCCAUCGCUCAACGGAUAAAAGGUACUCCGGGGAUAACAGGCUGAUACCGCCCAAGAGUUCAUAUCGACGGCGGUGUUUGGCACCUCGAUGUCGGCUCAUCACAUCCUGGGGCUGAAGUAGGUCCCAAGGGUAUGGCUGUUCGCCAUUUAAAGUGGUACGCGAGCUGGGUUUAGAACGUCGUGAGACAGUUCGGUCCCUAUCUGCCGUGGGCGCUGGAGAACUGAGGGGGGCUGCUCCUAGUACGAGAGGACCGGAGUGGACGCAUCACUGGUGUUCGGGUUGUCAUGCCAAUGGCACUGCCCGGUAGCUAAAUGCGGAAGAGAUAAGUGCUGAAAGCAUCUAAGCACGAAACUUGCCCCGAGAUGAGUUCUCCCUGACCCUUUAAGGGUCCUGAAGGAACGUUGAAGACGACGACGUUGAUAGGCCGGGUGUGUAAGCGCAGCGAUGCGUUGAGCUAACCGGUACUAAUGAACCGUGAGGCUUAACCU